rfam:Erinaceus europaeus unplaced genomic scaffold scaffold00156, whole genome shotgun sequence
AGUGGAACCUGUGGGAAGCAAGCAUGUGGGCAGAGAGAAUGCCCUCUGUCUGCACAGAGCAGUGUUCCUGCAGAAGCAUGGCGGUCUCUGUCUGACUUGAGAUAGUCACUAAGUCAUAUCGUCCCCCCCGUACAAU